UACCAGCUCUCCGAGUGGUGGGGAUGCUUAUUGGGCCUAAAGCAUUCGUAGCCUGCUUGACAAGUCCUCCGUUAAAUCCAACGAUUCAAUCGUUGGGCUGCGGGGGAUACUGUCCGGCUAGGGGCGGGAGGAGGCCGGACGGUAAGUCCUCGGGGUAGGGUGAAAUCCUAUAAUCCCGGGAGGACCACCAGUGGCGAAGGCUGUCGGCUAGAACGCGCUCGACGGUGAGAGAUGAAAGCUGGGGGAGCGAACCGGAUUAGAUACCCGGGUAGUCCCAGCUGUAAACGAUGCAGGCUAGGUGUUGGCGCGGCUACGUGCCGCUCCAGUGCCGCAGGGAAGCCGUUAAGCCUGCCGCCUGGGAAGUACGGCCGCAAGGCUUAAACUUAAGGAAUUGGCGGGGGAGCACACAAGGUGUGAGCUUGCGGUUU
rnacentral:rRNA from 1 species